ACCCGCUGAACUUAAGCAUAUCAAUAAGCGGAGGAAAAGAAACCAACAGGGAUUGCCCUAGUAACGGCGAGUGAAGCGGCAACAGCUCAAAUUUGAAAUCUGGCGUCUUUGGCGUCCGAGUUGUAAUUUGCAGAGGGCGCUUUGGCAUUGGCAGCGGUCCAAGUUCCUUGGAACAGGACGUCACAGAGGGUGAGAAUCCCGUACGUGGUCGCUAGCCUUUACCGUGUAAAGCCCCUUCGACGAGUCGAGUUGUUUGGGAAUGCAGCUCUAAAUGGGAGGUAAAUUUCUUCUAAAGCUAAAUACUGGCCAGAGACCGAUAGCGCACAAGUAGAGUGAUCGAAAGAUGAAAAGCACUUUGGAAAGAGAGUCAAAAAGCACGUGAAAUUGUUGAAAGGGAAGCGCUUGCAGCCAGACUUGCCUGUAGUUGCUCAUCCGGGCUCUUGCCCGGUGCACUCUUCUGCGGGCAGGCCAGCAUCAGUCCGGGCGGUUGGAUAAAUGCCUGCUAAAUGUACCUCUCCUCGGGGAGGACUUAUAGGGCAGGCGGCAUACAACCAGCCUGGACUGAGGUCCGCGCAUCUGCUAGGAUGCUGGCGUAAUGGCUGU
rnacentral:rRNA from 1 species